rnacentral:rRNA from 1 species
UACGUAGGGGGCAAGCGUUGUCCGGAUUUAUUGGGCGUAAAGCGCGUGUAGGCGGCCAGGUAGGUCCGCUGUGAAACCCGAAGGCUCAACCUCGGGACGUCGGCGGAAACCAUCUGGCUAGAGUCCGGAAGAGGAGAGUGGAAUUCCUGGUGUAGCGGUGAAAUGCGCAGAUAUCAGGAAGAACACCCGUGGCUAAGGCGGCUCUCUAGUACGGUACUGACGCUGAGACGCGAAAGCGUGGGGAGCGAACAGG